rnacentral:tRNA from 3 species
GCGCCCAUAUCUCAACGGAUAGAGUCCCAGCCUGCGAAGCUGGUUGUCCUGGUUCGAUUCCAGGUGGGCGCACCA